UACGAAGGGGGCUAGCGUUGCUCGGAAUCACUGGGCGUAAAGGGCGCGUAGGCGGAUCUUUAAGUCGGGGGUGAAAGCCCAGGGCUCAACCCUGGAAUGGCCUUCGAUACUGGAGAUCUUGAGACCGGAAGAGGUAAGUGGAACUGCGAGUGUAGAGGUGAAAUUCGUAGAUAUUCGCAAGAACACCAGUGGCGAAGGCGGCUUACUGGUCCAGUUCUGACGCUGAGGCACGAAAGCGUGGGGAGCAAACAGG
rnacentral:rRNA from 1 species